rnacentral:rRNA from 1 species
UACGAAGGGUGCAAGCGUUACUCGGAAUUACUGGGCGUAAAGCGUGCGUAGGUGGUUUGUUAAGUCUGUUGUGAAAGCCCCGGGCUCAACCUGGGAAUGGCAAUGGAUACUGGCAAGCUAGAGUGCGGUAGAGGGUAGUGGAAUUCCCGGUGUAGCGGUGAAAUGCGUAGAUAUCGGAAGGAACACCAGUGGCGAAAGCGGCUUCCUGGUCCAGCACCGACGUUCAGGCACGAAAGCGUGGGGAGCAAACA